CAGUAGGGAAUCUUCGGCAAUGGACGAAAGUCUGACCGAGCAACGCCGCGUGAGUGAAGAAGGUUUUCGGAUCGUAAAACUCUGUUGUUAGAGAAGAGCGACGAGGAGAGUGGAAAGCUCCUUGUGUGACGGUAUCUAACCAGAAAGGGACGGCUAACUACGUGCCAA
rnacentral:rRNA from 1 species